rnacentral:rRNA from 1 species
CCUACGGGUGACUGCAGUGAGGAAUAUUGGUCAAUGGGCGUAAGCCUGAACCAGCCAAGUCGCGUGAGGGAUGAAGGUUCUAUGGAUCGUAAACCUCUUUUAUAAGGGAAUAAAGUGCGGGACGUGUCCCGUUUUGUAUGUACCUUAUGAAUAAGGAUCGGCUAACUCCGUGCCAGCAGCCGCGGUAGUACGGAGGAUCCGCGCGUUAUCCGGCUUUAUUGGGGUUAAAGGGUGCGUAGGCGGCCUUUUAAGUCAGCGGGGAAAGUCUGUGGCUAAACCAUCGAAUUGCCGUUGAAACUGGGAGGCUUGAGUAUGUUUGAGGCAGGCGGAAUGCGUGGUGUAUCGGUGAAAUGCUUAGAUAUCACGCAGAACCACGAUUGCGAAGGCAGCCUGCCAAGCCAUGACUGACGCUGAUGCACGAAAGCGUGGGGAUCAAACAGGAUUAGAUACCCGAGUAGUC